AUCCAUUAAGCAUAAUUAUCUAGUGCAGAGUGAUGAAUGAUGAAUCAUACUAGUAGUUUUUAGAUGUAAUGUUCUAUUCAAUUGGCUUGGUUUUCUUAGGUUACAUAAAUCUGAAUUACUACAUUUCAGAUAGUUUAUGAAAUAAGAGAGUUUGUUGUUGCACACUUGCAUUUUUUUCUCCAUUAUGAUAUUAAUCCAGUUUUUAUACUUGUGAAGAUAUGACCCUGAUCAUAUUGUUUGAUUUGGUUAUGAGAAUUGUAGUUAUUUAACUUUGUUAGCCAAUUAUCUUGCCAUGUUCUCUUUAUUGUAUUCAUAUAUUUUUGAAUUUUGCGAAUGUAGCAGCUAGGUCUUGUGACUUACCAUGAAAGCAAUGCUUUCUAAUUUAAUGACUUAGGAAUAUGAGGUAUAAUUGACAGAAAUAUUCGUUCACUUUUUUGAUAUAUACAAAAUAAAAACUCAAAAUUAUAAUUACUUGGCACAUCUCAAUUCUUUGAGCACCAAUCUAUAUCAAAUACUUGGUGUUCUUAACCUCCUCUCUCUCAUUCUGCAUCUGUUUAGGGCCCAAAUAAAUAGUAAGAGAAACAAAAUUGAGUGUGGUGGUUUGUGCUAUUUAAUAUUUAUUGUAUCAGCUUGUAGAUCAUUAUUGGAUACAUACAACGAUUGUUGUACUAUUUUAACUGUGGCCUAAUCACAUGCAUUAUUUCAUUUUCCCCUUUUGGUGUAUUUGGUUGAAGGAAAAGUGUUGGUGAAAGA
rnacentral:misc_RNA from 1 species